UACGGGAGGCAGCAGUGGGGAAUAUUGCACAAUGGGCGAAAGCCUGAUGCAGCUAUGCCGCGUGUAUGAAGAAGGCCUUAGGGUUGUAAAGUACUUUCAUCGGGGAGGAAAAAACAAAACUAAUAAUUUUAUUUCUUGACGUUACCCGAAAAAGAAGCACCGGCUAACUCCGUGCCAGCAGCCGCGGUAAUACGGAGGGUGCUAGCGUUAAUCAGAAUUACUGGGCGUAAAGAGCACGUAGGUGGUUUUUUUAAAGUCAGAUGUGAAAUCCCUGGGCUUAACCUAGGAACUGCAUUUUGAAACUGAAAUACUAGAGUAUCGUAGAGGGAGGUAGAAUUCUAGGUGUAGCGGUGAAAUGCGUAGAUAUCUGGAGGAAUACCUGUGGCGAAAGCGGCCUCCUAAACGAAUACUGACACUGAGGUGCGAAAGCGUGGGGAGCAAACAGGGAUUAGAU
rnacentral:rRNA from 1 species